GACGAACGCUGGCGGCGUGCUUAACACAUGCAAGUCGAACGGUAAGGCCCUUCGGGGUACACGAGUGGCGAACGGGUGAGUAACACGUGGGUGAUCUGCCCUGCACUUCGGGAUAAGCCUGGGAAACUGGGUCUAAUACCGGAUAGGACUCCUGGCUUCAUGGUUGGGGGUGGAAAGCUUUUGCGGUGUGGGAUGGGCCCGCGGCCUAUCAGCUUGUUGGGGGGGUAAUGGUCUACCAAGGCGACGGCGGGUAGCCGGUCUGAGGGGGUGAGCGGUCGCACUGGGACUGGGAGACGGCCCAGACUCGUACGGGAGGCAGCAGUGGGGAAUAUUGCACAAUGGGCGCAAGCCUGAUGCGGGGACGCCACGUGAGGGAUGACGGCCUUCGGGUUGUAAACCUCUUUCAGCUAUGACGAAGCGCAAGUGACGGUAGUAGCAGAAGAAGGACCGGCCAACUACGUGCCAGCAGCCGCCGCGG
rnacentral:rRNA from 1 species